GCUCGACAGAACACCUCCCCUCUCCUCUUCAAUUUUCUCUCUCGGUCUUGGGCUUUUGAGGUUCUAAUCUUGAAGAACUAGCAAGGAGGGUAGAGCAGCCUCUAGGUCAGAAACAUCGAACGAUCUCUACAUACAGAGACACAACCACCCACACCUCCUCACCUUCAGCUUCUUGGGUAGUGGAGAGGAGAAAAGAAAAGAAAAGAAAAGGAUAAGAAAGGAU